UGGGGAAUAUUGCACAAUGGGCGAAAGCCUGAUCCAGCAAUGCCGCGUGCGGGAAGAAGGCCUUCGGGUUGUAAACCGCUUUUGUCAGGGAAGAAAUCUUCUGAGUUAAUACCUCGGGAGGAUGACGGUACCUGAAGAAUAAGCACCAGCUAACUACGUGCCAGCAGCCGCGGUAAUACGUAGGGUGCAAGCGUUAAUCGGAAUUACUGGGCGUAAAGCGUGCGCAGGCGGUUUUGUAAGACAGAGGUGAAAUCCCCGGGCUCAACCUGGGAACUGCCUUUGUGACUGCAAGGCUUGAGUGCGGCAGAGGGGGAUGGAAUUCCGCGUGUAGCAGUGAAAUGCGUAGAUAUGCGGAGGAACACCGAUGGCGAAGGCAAUCCCCUGGGCCUGCACUGACGCUCAUGCACGAAAGCGUGGGGAGCAAACAGGAUUAGAUACCCUGGUAGUCCACGCCCUAAACGAUGUCAACUGGUUGUUGGGAAGGUUCCUUCUCAGUAACGUAGCUAACGCGUGAAGUUGACCGCCUGGGGGAGUACGGCCGCAAGGUUGAAACUUAAA
rnacentral:rRNA from 1 species